GGGAUGACUGCCCAGUCAGAGGCAUCUAAAAUGAGACCAAAGACCUGGCAGAAGUGAAGUAGUAAGAAUGUGAAUACCUGGGGAAAGGGCAUUAUAGGCAGAGGGAGAAGCAAGUGCAAAGGCCCUGAGUUGGGAUUCUUCUAGGUAUGUUGGAAAAGAGAAUUGAGAAAACCAGGGUGUCUGAGGUGAAAGAAGCAAGGAGAAGAGUGGAGUAGGGAAGGGCCUGAUAUUCAGUUAUGCAUGGUAAGAUGUGUGACAUUUAUUCUGACAUGAGAGCCAUUCAAAGGUUUUCAGGAGAGGAACCUGAAAUGCUGACUUGUAUUGAAAAGGAUUGCUCUGCACACUGUUUAAAAAAUAGACUUACUGGAGGGUAAGACUGGAAGCAGGGAGAGGUGUUAGGAGACAGUGGUGGCUUGGAUUGGGCUGAUGGUCAUGGAGGUGAGCAGUAGCUCAUUCUGGAUAUAGUUGAAGGUCAAGCCAAUUUUACUUGCUGAUAGUGUAGGUGGGGAGUGAGAGAGAGACCAGUGCAAGUCUAGGUGUUGUUUGAUUGAGCAAAUGGAAGACUGGAGGUUGAAUGUUCUGAAGUAGGGGAAGCUGGAAAGACUAUAGAGUUGAGCUCUGGUCACACAGUAAGUUUGAGAGAUCUGUUAUCAAUUUCAAUGGAAGAUGCCAACUAGGCAGCUGAGAGUCCACCAGGAGUCAGAGCUGGAGGAAAUGUUGGGGAGUUUUCAGGGAAUGUGUGGUUCUGGAGGCCAUGGGAUUGAGAGGGAGACUAUCCAGGGAAUGUAGAUAGAGUGCACACGAGGAGGGUGUUCACGCCAAGAGGUCAGGGAGAGGAGAAACUAGUAAGGGGACUAAGAAAGGAGAUAUGGCCAGGGAACCAGGUGCUGAAAGUAUCUCUGGAGGAGGCAAUGAUCAACAUGCACAGAGGCUGCUGAUAAAUCCAGCAAGAUGACAACUGAGAAUUGGCCACUGGAUUUUUCAGUGGGGCAGCCACUACAUGAAGUCAUUUCCUUGAAGUGGUGGGGAUCCAGGUGAGAAUGGGCUUGGAGGAAGGGGAGAUGGGGCAGAAAAGUCUCUGCUCUAUGGAGGACAUCAUGGGGAAGGAAGUGGUGGUGCAGAAGGUGGGGUGGACAGGAGAUGGGAUGACACCUGUAACAAUGAGAGCUAUAUAGCAUGUUGCUUGACUAGAGAGAGUGACCCAUUAGAAAAGAGGGGCACUAGGGGUGUCCUUUGGUAGAAGAGACACGACAGGAUGUAGAUAGUAAAUAGGUCCUGUGAGCACAGUGAAC
rnacentral:lncRNA from 1 species